rnacentral:rRNA from 1 species
GAUGAACGCUAGCGGGAGGCUUAACACAUGCAAGUCGAGGGGCAGCACGAGGUAGCAAUACUUUGGUGGCGACCGGCGCACGGGUGAGUAACGCGUAUGUAACCUACCCUGUACAGGGGGAUAGCCCGGAGAAAUUCGGAUUAAUACCCCAUAAUGAUCUUCGGAUUAAAGAAUUUAUUCGCUUUGGGAGCGGCCUGCGUCCUAUUAGAUAGUUGGUGAGGUAAAGGCUCACCAAGUCAACGAUGGGUAGCUGGUCUGAGAGGAUGACCAGCCAGACUGGAACUGAGACACGGUCCAGACUCCUACGGGAGGCAGCAGUAAGGAAUCUUCCACAAUGGGGGCAACCCUGAUGGAGCAACGCCGCGUGCAGGAUGAAGGCCCUCGGGUCGUAAACUGCUUUAUGAGUGAAGAAUAUGACGGUAACUCGUGAAUAAGGGUCGGCUAACUACGUG